rnacentral:rRNA from 1 species
ACGGAAGGCAGCAGUGGGGAAUAUUGGGCAAUGGGGGAAACCCUGACCCAGCAACGCCGCGUGAAGGAAGAAGGCCUUCGGGUUGUAAACUUCUUUUACCAGGGACGAUAAUGACGGUACCUGGAGAAAAAGCAACGGCUAACUACGUGCCAGCAGCCGCGGUAAUACGUAGGUUGCAAGCGUUGUCCGGAUUUACUGGGUGUAAAGGGCGUGUAGGCGGAGCUGCAAGUCAGAUGUGAAAUCCCGGGGCUCAACCCCGGAACUGCAUUUGAAACUGUAGCCCUUGAGUAUCGGAGAGGCAAGCGGAAUUCCUAGUGUAGCGGUGAAAUGUGUAGAUAUUAGGAGGAACACCAGUGGCGAAGGCGGCUUGCUGGACGACAACUGACGCUGAGGCGCGAAAGCGUGGGGAGCAAACAGGAUUAGAUACCCUGGUA